rnacentral:lncRNA from 10 species
UUCUUUCCCUCCAGGUACAAGGAGGGCACCUCAGGAAACAGGAUUUUAUGAUCUGCUUCACGGGAAAGUCAGCUGAUUUUAUUCUCUGCUACAGGAGAGAAGGUCAGAGAAUUAUUUCUACAUUUUAUGGCCUGCUUCAGAGGAGAAGGGGCAAGGGGAAGAAUGCAUCAUACCAACAGGCAUCAUACCAACAGCGAUCAGAUGUUCGCCUAAUCAAUAGAGACAGCAAUCAAUCAGAUAAGGACAUAACCAGGCACACUCUUUACUAUCAAUUCAGUCCUCACCAGAAGACUCCGGGGCCAUAAGAAUAGCAAGACUUCACCAGCUCAAGACGGCCAUCUUGAUAGACACGGUUAUGCUGUCACUUGUGAUUAGCACCUGGCAUCUGAGGCUGAAGGCUCUGCCCAAAUAAAAGACUCUUCAGUGGAAGUCAUUGACAUCCAUCAGGAUCAGGCCAGGACACUCUCCUUGUCCAUGUCACUCUCCUUGCACUGGUUCAUUUGACCCCAUUUUCCUAAUCCUUU